AAAAAUUUAAUAAAAAAUAUUAAAGUAGUAUUAGUUAAGUUCUUGAAAUUUAAAAAAUUUGGCGGUAUUUUAGUCUAUUCAGAGGAACCUGUUUUGUAAUCGAUAAUCCACGUUGUACCUUACUUAAAUUUGUUUAUUCAAUUUAUAUAUCGUUGUUUAUAGAAUAUUUUAUAAAAAAAAUAAUUUUCAUAAAUUUUUAUAGAAAAAUAUAUCAGAUCAAGAUGUAGUUUAUAUUUAAGUUUAUAAUGGGUUACAAUAAAUUUAUUUUUGGAAAAAAAUUUCAAAUUAUUUUUAUAAAUUGGAUUUGAUAGUAAAUUUAUAAAGAUAAAUAAAUUGAUUAUAGCUCUAAAAUAUG
rnacentral:rRNA from 1 species